GAUAACUGAAUCAUGGGGGUGGUUCCCCCAUAUUGUUCUCAUGGUAGUGAAUAAGUCUCACUAGAUUUGAUGGCUUUAUAAGAGGAAAUCCCUUUCACUUGUCUCUCAUUCUCUCUUCUCUGCUGCCGUGUAAGACAUGCCUUUUGUCUUCCAUCAUGAUUGUGAAGCCUCCCCAGCCAAGUGGAACUAAACACAAAUCUGAAAAGAAAUGAAGAACCAUCUUUGCCUUAGGAUGUGGCAAAUGGAGCUUUGGGACUGAUGCAUAUUCAAAAGAAGGAUCUCCUGCCCUAGCAACACAGCAAGACCCCAUUUCUACAAAAUAGAAAAAAAAGAGCCAGGUGUGGUGCAUCAAUUAGACAAACCACAGUGGCUCAGUGAUGAUCAUUAAACGUCUAAGAAAAAAAUCGAAACAUCAUGGUUAAUGGAAUGAAUUUCUCGUGCUCAAACUCUCAAGAGAAAGAGAAAGGGGAGGAAGGGGAAGGAUGAAUCAAUAAUGGAUACUUAUAGAGCAUUUGAUUCCACAGUGGAUAAGCAAACCCACAAUACCUUCAUAAUAUCCUG